UGGCUCAUUAAAUCAGUUAUGGUUCAUUGGAUCUUACCCAUACUACUUGGAUACCUGUGGUAAUUCUAGAGCUAAUACAUGCAACUCAGCUCCGACCGCAAGGGACGAGCGCUUUUAUUAGAUCAAAACCAAUCGGGCCUCGGUCCGCCAAACUAGUGGUGACUCUGAAUAUCUUUGUGCUGAGCGCACGGUCUUUGCACCGGCGCCGCAUCUUUCAAGUGUCUGCCUUAUCAGCUGUCGAUUGUAGGUUAUGCGCCUACAAUGGCUAUAACGGGUAACGGGGAAUCAGGGUUCGAUUCCGGAGAGGGAGCCUGAGAAACGGCUACCACAUCUAAGGAAGGCAGCAGGCACGCAAAUUACCCACUCCCGGCCCGGGGAGGUAGUGACGAAAAAUAACGAUGCGAGACUCAUCCGAGGCCUCGCAAUCGGAAUGAGUACACUUUAAAUCCUUUAACGAGGAUCUAUUGGAGGGCAAGUCUGGUGCCAGCAGCCGCGGUAAUUCCAGCUCCAAUAGCGUAUAUUAAAGUUGUUGUGGUUAAAAAGCUCGUAGUUGGAUCUCAGUUCCUGACCGACGGUUCACCGCCCGGUGCUUACUGUCGGCUCAGAACAGCCCAUAUACCGUCGGCUCGGUCGGGGUUGCUCUUCAUCGAGUGUCCCGAGCGGCCGACAUGUUUACUUUGA
rnacentral:rRNA from 1 species